ACGCUCGACACCUACGGGAGGCAGCAGUGGGGAAUAUUGCACAAUGGGGGGAACCCUGAUGCAGCGACGCCGCGUGAGUGAAGAAGUACUUCGGUAUGUAAAGCUCUAUCAGCAGGGAAGAAAAUGACGGUACCUGACUAAGAACGCCCCGGCUAACUACGUGCAAGCAGCCGCGGUAAUCUGAGCGGGCUGGCAAGGC
rnacentral:rRNA from 1 species